GAUGAACGCUGGCGGCGUGCCUAACACAUGCAAGUCGAACGGAAUUUACAUGAAGCCUAGCGAUUGUAAAUUUAGUGGCGGACGGGUGAGUAACGCGUGGGUAACCUGCCUUGUACUGGGGGACAACAGUUGGAAACGACUGCUAAUACCGCAUAAGCGCACAGCUUCGCAUGAAGCAGUAUGAAAAACUCCGGUGGUACAAGAUGGACCCGCGUCUGAUUAGCUGGUUGGUGAGGUAACGGCCCACCAAGGCGACGAUCAGUAGCCGGCCUGAGAGGGUGAACGGCCACAUUGGGACUGAGACACGGCCCAAACGUCCUACGGGAGGCAGCAGUGGGGAAUAUUGCACAAUGGGGGAAACCCUGAUGCAGCAACGCCGCGUGAGUGAAGAGUAUUUCGGAUGUAAAGCUCUAUCAGCAGGAAAGAAAAUGACGGUACCUGACUAAGAAGCCCCGGNUAACUACGUG
rnacentral:rRNA from 1 species